GACGAACGCUGGCGGCGUGCCUAAUACAUGCAAGUAGAACGCUGAAGCGAGGAGCUUGCUCUUCUUGGAUGAGUUGCGAACGGGUGAGUAACGCGUAGGUAACCUGCCUUGUAGCGGGGGAUAACUAUUGGAAACGAUAGCUAAUACCGCAUAACAAUGGAUGACACAUGUCAUUUAUUUGAAAGGGGCAAUUGCUCCACUACAAGAUGGACCUGCGUUGUAUUAGCUAGUAGGUGAGGUAAUGGCUCACCUAGGCGACGAUACAUAGCCGACCUGAGAGGGUGAUCGGCCCCCCUGGGACUGGGACACGGCCCAGACUCCUACGGGAGGCAGCAGUAGGGAAUCUUCGGCAAUGGGGGCAACCCUGACCGAGCAACGCCGCGUGAGUGAAGAAGGUUUUCGGAUCGUAAAGCUCUGUUGUAAGUCAAGAACGGGUGUGAGAGUGGAAAGUUCACACUGUGACGGUAGCUUACCAGAAAGGGACGGCUAACUACGUG
rnacentral:rRNA from 1 species